CCUACGGGAGGCAGCAGUGGGGAAUAUUGCACAAUGGGGGAAACCCUGAUGCAGCAACGCCGCGUGAGUGAAGAAGUAUUUCGGUAUGUAAAGCUCUAUCAGCAGGGAAGAUAAUGACGGUACCUGACUAAGAAGCUCCGGCUAAAUACGUGCCAGCAGCCGCGGUAAUACGGAAGGUCCGGGCGUUAUCCGGAUUUAUUGGGUUUAAAGGGAGCGUAGGCGGACGCUUAAGUCAGUUGUGAAAGUUUGCGGCUCAACCGUAAAAUUGCAGUUGAUACUGGGUGUCUUGAGUACAGUAGAGGCAGGCGGAAUUCGUGGUGUAGCGGUGAAAUGCUUAGAUAUCACGAAGAACUCCGAUUGCGAAGGCAGCCUGCUGGAGCGCAACUGACGCUGAAGCUCGAAAGUGCGGGUAUCGAACAGGAUU
rnacentral:rRNA from 1 species